CACGUAGGGUGCGAGCGUUGUCCGGAAUUAUUGGGCGUAAAGAGCUCGUAGGCGGUUCGUCGCGUCGGCUGUGAAAACCCGGAGCUCAACUCCGGGCCUGCAGUCGAUACGGGCGGACUUGAGUGUUGCAGGGGAGACUGGAAUUCCUGGUGUAGCGGUGAAAUGCGCAGAUAUCAGGAGGAACACCGGUGGCGAAGGCGGGUCUCUGGGCAACUACUGACGCUGAGGAGCGAAAGCGUGGGGAGCGAACAGG
rnacentral:rRNA from 1 species